rnacentral:rRNA from 1 species
GAUGAACGCUGGCGGCGUGCCUAACACAUGCAAGUCGAGCGAUUCUCUUCGGAGAAGAGCGGCGGACGGGUGAGUAACGCGUGGGUAACCUGCCCUGUACACACGGAUAACAUACCGAAAGGUAUGCUAAUACGAGAUAAUAUGCUUUUAUCGCAUGGUAGAAGUAUCAAAGCUUUUGCGGUACAGGAUGGACCCGCGUCUGAUUAGCUAGUUGGUAAGGUAACGGCUUACAAAGGCGACGAUCAGUAGCCGACCUGAGAGGGUGAUCGGCCACAUUGGAACUGAGACACGGUCCAAACUCCUACGGGAGGCAGCAGUGGGGAAUAUUGCACAAUGGGCGAAAGCCUGAUGCAGCAACGCCGCGUGAACGAUGAAGGCCUUCGGGUCGUAAAGCUCUGUCCUCAAGGAAGAUAAUGACGGUACUUGAGGAGGAAGCCCCGGCUAACUACGUGCCAGCAGCCGCGGUAA